rnacentral:rRNA from 1 species
GAUGAACGCUGGCGGCGUGCCUAAUACAUGCAAGUCGAGCGAACGGACGAGAAGCUUGCUUCUCUGAUGUUAGCGGCGGACGGGUGAGUAACACGUGGAUAACCUACCUAUAAGACUGGGAUAACUUCGGGAAACCGGAGCUAAUACCGGAUAAUAUUUUGAACCGCAUGGUUCAAAAGUGAAAGACGGUCUUGCUGUCACUUAUAGAUGGAUCCGCGCUGCAUUAGCUAGUUGGUAAGGUAACGGCUUACCAAGGCAACGAUGCAUAGCCGACCUGAGAGGGGGAUCGGCCACACUGGAACUGAGACACGGUCCAGACUCCUACGGGAGGCAGCAGUAGGGAAUCUUCCGCAAUGGGCGAAAGCCUGACGGAGCAACGCCGCGUGAGUGAUGAAGGUCUCGGAUCGUAAAACUCUGUUAUUAGGGAAGAACAUAUGUGUAAGUAACUGUGCACAUCUUGACGGUACCUAAUCAGAAAGCCACGGCUAACUACGUG